UGGGGAAUAUUGGACAAUGGGCGAAAGCCUGAUCCAGCCAUGCCGCGUGUGUGAAGAAGGUCUUCGGAUUGUAAAGCACUUUAAGUUGGGAGGAAGGGCAGUAAGCGAAUACCUUGCUGUUUUGACGUUACCGACAGAAUAAGCACCGGCUAACUCUGUGCCAGCAGCCGCGGUAAUACAGAGGGUGCGAGCGUUAAUCGGAUUUACUGGGCGUAAAGCGUGCGUAGGCGGCUGAUUAAGUCGGAUGUGAAAUCCCUGAGCUUAACUUAGGAAUUGCAUUCGAUACUGGUCAGCUAGAGUAUGGGAGAGGAUGGUAGAAUUCCAGGUGUAGCGGUGAAAUGCGUAGAGAUCUGGGGGAAUACCGAUGGCGAAGGCAGCCAUCUGGCCUAAUACUGACGCUGAGGUACGAAAGCAUGGGGAGCAAACAGG
rnacentral:rRNA from 1 species